AGUCGAGCGGUAAGGCCCUUCGGGGUACACGAGCGGCGAACGGGUGAGUAACACGUGAGCAACCUGCCCCCGACUCCGGGAUAAGCGGUGGAAACGCCGUCUAAUACCGGAUACGACCGGCCACCUCAUGGCGGCCGGUGGAAAGUUUUUCGGUUGGGGAUGGGCUCGCGGCCUAUCAGCUUGUUGGUGGGGUAAAGGCCUACCAAGGCGAUUACGGGUAGCCGGCCUGAGAGGGCGACCGGCCACACUGGGACUGAGACACGGCCCAGACUCCUGCGGGAGGCAGCAGUGGGGAAUAUUGCGCAAUGGGCGAAAGCCUGACGCAGCGACGCCGCGUGGGGGAUGACGGCCUUCGGGUUGUAAACCUCUUUUACCACCAACGCAGGCUCCCAGUUCUCUGGGGGUUGACGGUAGGUGGGGAAUAAGGACCGGCUAACUACGUGCCAGCAGCCGCGGUAAUACGUAGGGUCCGAGCGUUGUCCGGAAUUAUUGGGCGUAAAGAGCUCGUAGGCGGCGUGUCGCGUCUGCUGUGAAAGACCGGGGCUUAACCCCGGUUCUGCAGUGGAUACGGGCAUGCUAGAGGUAGGUAGGGGAGACUGGAAUUCCUGGUGUAGCGGUGAAAUGCGCAGAUAUCAGGAGGAACACCGGUGGCGAAGGCGGGUCUCUGGGCCUUACCUGACGCUGAGGAGCGAAAGCAUGGGGAGCGAACAGGAUUAGAUACCCUGGUAGUCCAUGCCGUAAACGUUGGGCGCUAG
rnacentral:rRNA from 1 species